rnacentral:snRNA from 1 species
GUAAACCCGUAAGGCGCAAG